CUUCGGUUCCCCGCCACACUGGUUCCUUUUCCGCGUACCCCCACCGCCCCGAAGCAGUUUCUUCUCCUCCCAGCUCGCGAUCCCUUCCCCCAGCCAGCCCCGGCCCAGAUACAUUUUCCAACGCCGCUCCUCUCAUCGUCGGGGACUGGCGGCGCCCAACCCCAGCUGAUGCUCCUCCCGUCGCCGAUCUGGAGUCUGGCGCCUCCCGUCACUGCUGAUCCAUUCCCGACGCCGCAUCUCAUCCCGACGCAGCACCUCCUCCCGUCGCCGCUCCCCUCCUCCGACGGUGAUCCCUCCUCCCAACGCCAUUCCACGAGACCGUCCUCCCGUCAUCGUCACCCCCGGGAGAUCCUACUAUGGCCCACCGACGAGAUCCUCCCCUGGCCUACCUUCAGGUCAUGGAGGAAUUGAUGGCACGGCGUGGAUGAAUCGCCUGCGUAUCCCCGCAUUCAAGGUGAUGCCCUCCCGUUCCCGAUGCCGCUCACUCCUCCCGUCGCUGUCGAUCCUCCUCCAGCCUGCUCUCUGAUCAGGUGAUUCCCCCUCAUCUUUUGUUGUUCCUACGGUUAAUUCCGUGCAAGCUCUAGAUUUGUCUGCCGGUGCUCAUUCUUUGAUGAAUCGUCGCUGGUGGUUCCCCCGCCAGUGCAAGCACAGAUUGGUCCACAGAUGCAUAUCAACCCGAGCAGGGUGGUGUUCGAGCAGCUUCCGAUUUGGUUGUCAAUCGGAUUGGCGAUGACGUUCACCAGGGAUCCAAUCUCCUCCGCUAUAGCUUGGGGUUCCUUCCCUGGAGCGGCAGGUUUGUUUGGAUGAGUAUUCAUUAAUACCUACGUUGAGUCUGAUGCCCCCUCUUUUCUCACAUUAAUUCGAUUCUCCUGCUGUUGCCUGAUUACCCCUAUUGGUGGCGACAAUUAUUUGUGAUAAUGAUGAUUAGGUUGAAGAAUUAAAUUGAGUACCCACUGCUAUUUUCAGUCAAUUAACGUUCAAUCCUCCCUGCUGGUGAUUGAUUGUCUGUAUUGCUGGUGAUGAGUUGUGAUUGGAUCCCUGGUGUUAUUUAGAGUAGUAAGCGUACGUAUUAGCAAUCCCAAUUUUUUAGUGACAGCUGGUGCAGGAGCAACCAGGUCAGCUUUUUCUAUUUUCUUGACCUGAGCGGUUUGAAAUAUUUCUGGCAUAUUCUGUUGUGCCUCGUCGCCUCCUGUCCUGGUCACAUACAUCAUCGUAAGUUGUGGUGAUGAGUUGCUGUUUUCGAUCUGACCAAAUCUCCUUUAAAUGCUCAUUUAGUCAAGGCUCCGUAGCUUCUUCUCCACAUAGUGAACUUUGGGUGCCUCGUAUAAUUUUGUUGUUAAAUGUUGAUGUUUGAACUGUUCAUCACUUGAGUUUCUUCAUGAGAUAUCCUGCUGCCUACAAAUGUCCCUGACUGGCGAGUUACGGGCAAUGAGCACCCCCAGCCUCAACCAGCUUCGAUCUGAAUACAGCCUGUAGAACAACCUCUGUUGAGAAGCUGAGUGCCAGCACAAUCCUUUGAACCCUGCUCUGUUGUGGGAAUUAUAACAAUUAACUUGCCAUGUCCGUAACAAUUACCUUGCCAUGUCCGUUCUAGUUCAGUUAAACAAUUACCCUGCUCUGUAGUGAGCUUGGCAAUGACUUG